rnacentral:rRNA from 1 species
GAUGAACGCUGGCGGCGUGCCUAAUACAUGCAAGUCGAGCGAACAGACGAGGAGCUUGCUCCUCUGACGUUAGCGGCGGACGGGUGAGUAACACGUGGAUAACCUACCUAUAAGACUGGGAUAACUUCGGGAAACCGGAGCUAAUACCGGAUAAUAUAUUGAACCGCAUGGUUCAAUAGUGAAAGACGGUUUUGCUGUCACUUAUAGAUGGAUCCGCGCCGCAUUAGCUAGUUGGUAAGGUAACGGCUUACCAAGGCAACGAUGCGUAGCCGACCUGAGAGGGUGGUCGGCCACCCUGGAACUGAGACACGGUCAAGACUCCUACGGGAGGCAGCAGUAGGGAAUCUUCCGCAAUGGGCGAAAGCCUGACGGAGCAACGCCGCGUGAGUGAUGAAGGUCUUCGGAUCGUAAAACUCUGUUAUUAGGGAAGAACAAAUGUGUAAGUAACUAUGCACGUCUUGACGGUACCUAAUCAGAAAGCCCCGGCUAACUACGUG